rnacentral:rRNA from 1 species
GACGAACGCUGGCGGCGUGCCUAAUACAUGCAAGUAGAACGCACAGUUUAUACCGUAGCUUGCUACACCAUACACUGUGAGUUGCGAACGGGUGAGUAACGCGUAGGUAACCUGCCUGGUAGCGGGGGAUAACUAUUGGAAACGAUAGCUAAUACCGCAUAAUAUUGAUUAUUGCAUGAUAAUUGAUUGAAAGAUGCUAUUGCAUCACUACCAGAUGGACCUGCGUUGUAUUAGCUAGUAGGUGAGGUAACGGCUCACCUAGGCGACGAUACAUAGCCGACCUGAGAGGGUGAUCAGCCACACUGGGACUGAGACACGGCCCAGACUCCUACGGGAGGCAGCAGUAGGGAAUCUUCGGCAAUGGACGAAAGUCUGACCGAGCAACGCCGCGUGAGUGAAGAAGGUUUUCGGAUCGUAAAGCUCUGUUGUAAGAGAAGAACGGGUGUGAGAGUGGAAAGUUCACACUGUGACGGUAUCUUACCAGAAAGGGACGGCUAACUACGUG